rnacentral:rRNA from 1 species
AGUGAACGCUGGCGGUAGGCCUAACACAUGCAAGUCGAACGGCAGCACAGUAAGAGCUUGCUCUUACGGGUGGCGAGUGGCGGACGGGUGAGGAAUACAUCGGAAUCUACUUUUUCGUGGGGGAUAACGUAGGGAAACUUACGCUAAUACCGCAUACGACCUACGGGUGAAAGCAGGGGAUCUUCGGACCUUGCGCGAUUGAAUGAGCCGAUGUCGGAUUAGCUAGUUGGCGGGGUAAAGGCCCACCAAGGCGACGAUCCGUAGCUGGUCUGAGAGGAUGAUCAGCCACACUGGAACUGAGACACGGUCCAGACUCCUACGGGAGGCAGCAGUGGGGAAUAUUGGACAAGGGGCGCAAGCCUGAUCCAGCCAUACCGGGUGGGUGAAGAAGGCCUUCGGGUUGGAAAGCCCUUUUGUUGGGAAAGAAAAGCAGCAGGUUAAUACCCCGCUGUUCUGACGGUACCCAAAGAAUAAGCACCGGCUAACUUCGUG